GCCGCUGCGGUGAUAGGUAGCUGUUGCAACUUUCUCACCGUCAUUUACAUCGGAUUUGUUUGUGCUCACACUUUACCGGUUUUCUACGAGAGAUACGAGGAUCAGGUUGACGACUUCCUUUAUAACAUGUUUGGGCAGCUUCAGAAUCAAUACCAGAAGCUGGAUUCCAGUGUACUGAGCAAAAUACCCAAGGCAAACCUCAAGUCUAAGAAGUCUCUCUAGAUUCACCUGUUUCUCCUGGUUUAUUUAUUCGAUGAUCGGGAACCCUCUAAACUGGUCCCUAAUGAUA
rnacentral:misc_RNA from 1 species